rnacentral:lncRNA from 1 species
GGCGGGGCUCCCAGCCGGUAAUGGGAGGCCUGGAGGGGGAUGGACUUUAAAAAGGAAGCAGAAAGGCCAGGAGGACGAGCUUCACUGGAGGUGGAGAGAAGGCUAAAAAGCACAGGCUCGAAGAGACUGCCAAGAUACAACGAUCCAACAAAGACACAUCGUAUCAACAGUAAUGAUUUCCUAAAUGUGAAGUAGUAGUUAUGUUUCAUGUUUCAAUAGUCAUCAAUCUGUUUUUAAUGUAUUCAUGGAAAAAUAUGUGGGCCAUCUUGCUAUUUAACUAUUUUUGAAAUCUCAUGGAAGCCUGCCAAUGUUUUUGCAAUUUAGCUAAGAAGCUGUCUUGCUUUUUGAGAGGGGAAGUUCCAAUAUUGUAAGCCUAGGUUUCUGAAUAUAUUUUUGUUUUUUAAUAAAUGUAGAAAGAAUGUUUUUUGUUAAUCCUGGCAUUUGUCUAGAGCAAAAGCAAAAUAAAUGAAAAGUGAGGAAAAUUAAAAGGCUCACGUUAUAACAUGUGCUGUCUAGAGAAUAAAAACUCAUUUGUGCAAAGUUGGUAUGGCUUUUAUGAAAAUAUUUCAGUCCGAGCACCUUGCCUGUUUGCUGCAGUGCUGACUGACUCAUGAUUAGGGAUCUGUGUUGCCUUUAUUGCUCUCGGUUUGCCCUAUGGCUUGAUUUAUUAAUAUAUUU